AGCGAACGCUGGCGGCAGGCCUAACACAUGCAAGUCGAACGAAGUCUUCGGACUUAGUGGCGGACGGGUGAGUAACACGUGGGAACGUGCCUUUAGGUUCGGAAUAACUCAGGGAAACUUGUGCUAAUACCGAAUGUGCCCUUCGGGGGAAAGAUUUAUCGCCUUUAGAGCGGCCCGCGUCUGAUUAGCUAGUUGGGGAGGUAAAGGCUCACCAAGGCUACGAUCAGUAGCUGGUCUGAGAGGAUGACCAGCCACAUUGGGACUGAGACACGGCCCAAACGCCUACGGGAGGCAGCAGUGGGGAAUCUUGCGCAAUGGGCGAAAGCCUGACGCAGCCAUGCCGCGUGGAUGAUGAAGGUCUUAGGAUUGUAAAAUCCUUUCACCGGUGAAGAUAAUGACUGUAGCCGGAGAAGAAGCCCCGGCUAACUUCGUGCCAGCAGCCGCCGUAACAC
rnacentral:rRNA from 1 species